AAGCCUAACACAUGCAAGUCGAACGGUACAGGAAGCAGCUUGCUGCUUUGCUGACGAGUGGCGGACGGGUGAGUAAUGUCUGGGAAACUGCCUGAUGGAGGGGGAUAACUACUGGAAACGGUAGCUAAUACCGCAUAACGUCGCAAGACCAAAGAGGGGGACCUUCGGGCCUCUUGCCAUCGGAUGUGCCCAGAUGGGAUUAGCUAGUAGGUGGGGUAACGGCUCACCUAGGCGACGAUCCCUAGCUGGUCUGAGAGGAUGACCAGCCACACUGGAACUGAGACACGGUCCAGACUCCUACGGGAGGCAGCAGUGGGGAAUAUUGCACAAUGGGCGCAAGCCUGAUGCAGCCAUGCCGCGUGUAUGAAGAAGGCCUUCGGGUUGUAAAGUACUUUCAGCGGGGAGGAAGGUGUUGAGGUUAAUAACCUCAGCAAUUGACGUUACCCGCAGAAGAAGCACCGGCUAACUCCGUGCCAGCAGCCGCGGUAAUACGGAGGGUGCAAGC
rnacentral:rRNA from 1 species